UACGUAGGGUGCGAGCGUUGCCCGGAUUUAUUGGGCGUAAAGGGCGCGUAGGCGGCUCGGCACGUCCGUUGUGAAAUCGCCCGGCUCAACUGGGCGGGGUCAGCGGAUACGGUCGAGCUUGAGCAAGCUAGGGGGCAAUGGAAUUCCCGGUGUAGUGGUGGAAUGCGUAGAUAUCAGGAGGAACACCAAUGGCGAAGGCAGCUCGCUGGGACGGUACUGACGCUGAGGCGCGAAAGCGUGGGGAGCAAACAGG
rnacentral:rRNA from 1 species